UACAGGGGGUGCGAGCGUUGUCCGGAAUCACUGGGCGUAAAGGGCGCGUAGGCGGCGCGGUAAGCGUGCGGUGAAAGCCCGGGGCUCAACCCCGGGUCGGCCGUGCGGACUGCCGGGCUGGAGCACUGUAGAGGCAGGUGGAAUUCCGGGUGUAGCGGUGGAAUGCGUAGAGAUCCGGAAGAACACCGGUGGCGAAGGCGGCCUGCUGGGCAGUAGCUGACGCUGAAGCGCGACAGCGUGGGGAGCAAACAGG
rnacentral:rRNA from 1 species